UACGUAGGUGGCGAGCGUUGUCCGGAAUUACUGGGUGUAAAGGGCGUGUAGGCGGGUUGGCAAGUCAGAUGUGAAAUACCACGGCUCAACUGUGGGGGUGCAUCUGAAACUGCCGAUCUUGAGUGCUGGAGAGGAAAGCGGAAUUCCACGUGUAGCGGUGAAAUGCGUAGAUAUGUGGAGGAACACCAGUGGCGAAGGCGGCUUUCUGGACAGUAACUGACGCUGAGGCGCGAAAGCGUGGGGAGCAAACAGG
rnacentral:rRNA from 1 species